rnacentral:rRNA from 1 species
AUGGGGAAACCCAGCAUGAGUUAUGUCAUGUUAUCGAUAUGUGAAUACAUAGCAUAUCAGAAGGCACACCCGGAGAACUGAAACAUCUUAGUACCCGGAGGAAGAGAAAGAAAAUUCGAUUCCCUUAGUAGCGGCGAGCGAAACGGGAAGAGCCCAAACCAACAAGCUUGCUUGUUGGGGUUGUAGGACACUCUAUACGGAGUUACAAAGGACGACAUUAGACGAAUCAUCUGGAAAGAUGAAUCAAAGAAGGUAAUAAUCCUGUAGUCGAAAAUGUUGUCUCUCUUGAGUGGAUCCUGAGUACGACGGAGCACGUGAAAUUCCGUCGGAAUCUGGGAGGACCAUCUCCUAAGGCUAAAUACUCUCUAGUGACCGAUAGUGAACCAGUACCGUGAGGGAAAGGUGAAAAGCACCCCGGAAGGGGAGUGAAAUAGAACCUGAAACCGUGUGCUUACAAGUAGUCAGAGCCCGUUAAUGGGUGAUGGCGUGCCUUUUGUAGAAUGAACCGGCGAGUUACGAUUUGAUGCAAGGUUAAGCAGUAAAUGUGGAGCCGUAGCGAAAGCGAGUCUGAAUAGGGCGUUUAGUAUUUGGUCGUAGACCCGAAACCAGGUGAUCUACCCUUGGUCAGGUUGAAGUUCAGGUAACACUGAAUGGAGGACCGAACCGACUUACGUUGAAAAGUGAGCGGAUGAACUGAGGGUAGCGGAGAAAUUCCAAUCGAACCUGGAGAUAGCUGGUUCUCUCCGAAAUAGCUUUAGGGCUAGCCUCAAGUGAUGAUUAUUGGAGGUAGAGCACUGUUUGGACGAGGGGCCCCUCUCGGGUUACCGAAUUCAGACAAACUCCGAAUGCCAAUUAAUUUAACUUGGGAGUCAGAACAUGGGUGAUAAGGUCCGUGUUCGAAAGGGAAACAGCCCAGACCACCAGCUAAGGUCCCAAAAUAUAUGUUAAGUGGAAAAGGAUGUGGCGUUGCCCAGACAACUAGGAUGUUGGCUUAGAAGCAGCCAUCAUUUAAAGAGUGCGUAAUAGCUCACUAGUCGAGUGACACUGCGCCGAAAAUGUACCGGGGCUAAACAUAUUACCGAAGCUGUGGAUUGUCCUUUGGACAAUGGUAGGAGAGCGUUCUAAGGGCGUUGAAGCAUGAUCGUAAGGACAUGUGGAGCGCUUAGAAGUGAGAAUGCCGGUGUGAGUAGCGAAAGACGGGUGAGAAUCCCGUCCACCGAUUGACUAAGGUUUCCAGAGGAAGGCUCGUCCGCUCUGGGUUAGUCGGGUCCUAAGCUGAGGCCGACAGGCGUAGGCGAUGGAUAACAGGUUGAUAUUCCUGUACCACCUAUAAUCGUUUUAAUCGAUGGGGGGACGCAGUAGGAUAGGCGAAGCGUGCGAUUGGAUUGCACGUCUAAGCAGUAAGGCUGAGUAUUAGGCAAAUCCGGUACUCGUUAAGGCUGAGCUGUGAUGGGGAGAAGACAUUGUGUCUUCGAGUCGUUGAUUUCACACUGCCGAGAAAAGCCUCUAGAUAGAAAAUAGGUGCCCGUACCGCAAACCGACACAGGUAGUCAAGAUGAGAAUUCUAAGGUGAGCGAGCGAACUCUCGUUAAGGAACUCGGCAAAAUGACCCCGUAACUUCGGGAGAAGGGGUGCUCUUUAGGGUUAACGCCCAGAAGAGCCGCAGUGAAUAGGCCCAAGCGACUGUUUAUCAAAAACACAGGUCUCUGCUAAACCGUAAGGUGAUGUAUAGGGGCUGACGCCUGCCCGGUGCUGGAAGGUUAAGAGGAGUGGUUAGCUUCUGCGAAGCUACGAAUCGAAGCCCCAGUAAACGGCGGCCGUAACUAUAACGGUCCUAAGGUAGCGAAAUUCCUUGUCGGGUAAGUUCCGACCCGCACGAAAGGCGUAACGAUUUGGGCACUGUCUCAACGAGAGACUCGGUGAAAUCAUAGUACCUGUGAAGAUGCAGGUUACCCGCGACAGGACGGAAAGACCCCGUGGAGCUUUACUGUAGCCUGAUAUUGAAAUUCGGCACAGCUUGUACAGGAUAGGUAGGAGCCUUUGAAACGUGAGCGCUAGCUUACGUGGAGGCGCUGGUGGGAUACUACCCUAGCUGUGUUGGCUUUCUAACCCGCACCACUUAUCGUGGUGGGAGACAGUGUCAGGCGGGCAGUUUGACUGGGGCGGUCGCCUCCUAAAAGGUAACGGAGGCGCUCAAAGGUUCCCUCAGAAUGGUUGGAAAUCAUUCAUAGAGUGUAAAGGCAUAAGGGAGCUUGACUGCGAGACCUACAAGUCGAGCAGGGUCGAAAGACGGACUUAGUGAUCCGGUGGUUCCGCAUGGAAGGGCCAUCGCUCAACGGAUAAAAGCUACCCCGGGGAUAACAGGCUUAUCUCCCCCAAGAGUUCACAUCGACGGGGAGGUUUGGCACCUCGAUGUCGGCUCAUCGCAUCCUGGGGCUGUAGUCGGUCCCAAGGGUUGGGCUGUUCGCCCAUUAAAGCGGUACGCGAGCUGGGUUCAGAACGUCGUGAGACAGUUCGGUCCCUAUCCGUCGUGGGCGUAGGAAAUUUGAGAGGAGCUGUCCUUAGUACGAGAGGACCGGGAUGGACAUACCUCUGGUGUACCAGUUGUCGUGCCAACGGCAUAGCUGGGUAGCUAUGUGUGGACGGGAUAAGUGCUGAAAGCAUCUAAGCAUGAAGCCCCCCUCAAGAUGAGAUUUCCCAACUUCGGUUAUAAGAUCCCUCAAAGAUGAUGAGGUUAAUAGGUUCGAGGUGGAAGCAUGGUGACAUGUGGAGCUGACGAAUACUAAUCGAUCGAAGACUUAAUCAA